GACGAACGCUGGCGGCGUGCUUAACACAUGCAAGUCGAACGAUGAAGCCGGAGCUUGCUCCGGUGGAUUAGUGGCGAACGGGUGAGUAACACGUGAGCAAUCUGCCCUUGACUCUGGGAUAGCUGCGGGAAACUGUAGCUAAUACCGGAUACGACACCUUGGGGCAUCCCAGGGUGUGGAAAGAAUUUCGGUCAAGGAUGAGCUCGCGGCCUAUCAGCUAGUUGGUGAGGUAAUGGCUCACCAAGGCGACGACGGGUAGCCGGCCUGAGAGGGGGACCGGCCACACUGGAACUGAGACACGGUCCAGACUCCUACGGGAGGCAGCAGUGGGGAAUAUUGCACAAUGGGCGAAAGCCUGAUGCAGCAACGCCGCGUGAGGGAUGAAGGCCUUCGGGUUGUAAACCUCUUUUAGCAGGGAAGAAGCGAAAGUGACGGUACCUGCAGAAAAAGCACCGGCUAACUACGUGCCAGCCGCCGCAGUAA
rnacentral:rRNA from 1 species